UUCGGAAUCUUGAGAGCGGCGCACGGGUGCGGAACACGUGUGCAACCUGCCUUUAUCUGGGGGAUAGCCUUUCGAAAGGAAGAUUAAUACCCCAUAAUAUAUUGAGUGGCAUCACUUGAUAUUGAAAACUCCGGUGGAUAGAGAUGGGCACGCGCAAGAUUAGAUAGUUGGUGAGGUAACGGCUCACCAAGUCAAUGAUCUUUAGGGGGCCUGAGAGGGUGAUCCCCCACACUGGUACUGAGACACGGACCAGACUCCUACGGGAGGCAGCAGUGAGGAAUAUUGGACAAUGGGUGAGAGCCUGAUCCAGCCAUCCCGCGUGAAGGACGACUGCCCUAUGGGUUGUAAACUUCUUUUAUACUGGGAUAAACCUACCCUUCGUGAGGGUAGCUGAAGGUACAGUAUGAAUAAGCACCGGCUAACUCCGUGCCAGCAGCCGCGGUAAUACGGAGGGUGCAAGCGUUAUCCGGAUUUAUUGGGUUUAAAGGGUCCGUAGGCGGACUCGUAAGUCAGUGGUGAAAUCUCAUAGCUUAACUAUGAAACUGCCAUUGAUACUGCGGGUCUUGAGUAAAGUAGAAGUGGCUGGAAUAAGUAGUGUAGCGGUGAAAUGCAUAGAUAUUACUUAGAACACCAAUUGCGAAGGCAGGUCACUAUGUUUUAACUGACGCUGAUGGACGAAAGCGUGGGGAGCGAACAGGAUUAGAUACCCUGGUAGUCCACGCCGUAAACGAUGCUAACUCGUUUUUGGGUUUUCGGAUUCAGAGACUAAGCGAAAGUGAUAAGUUAGCCACCUGGGGAGUACGUUCGCAAGAAUGAAACUCAAAGGAAUUGACGGGGGCCCGCACAAGCGGUGGAUUAUGUGGUUUAAUUCGAUGAUACGCGAGGAACCUUACCAAGGCUUAAAUGGGAAUUGACAGGUUUAGAAAUAGAUCCUUCUUCGGACAAUUUUCAAGGUGCUGCAUGGUUGUCGUCAGCUCGUGCCGUGAGGUGUUAGGUUAAGUCCUGCAACGAGCGCAACCCCUGUCACUAGUUGCCAUCAUUCAGUUGGGGACUCUAGUGAGACUGCCUACGCAAGUAGAGAGGAAGGUGGGGAUGACGUCAAAUCAUCACGGCCCUUACGCCUUGGGCCACACACGUAAUACAAUGGCCGGUACAGAGGGCAGCUACUAUGCGAAUAGAUGCGAAUCUCGAAAGCCGGUCUCAGUUCGGAUUGGAGUCUGCAACUCGACUC
rnacentral:rRNA from 1 species